rnacentral:tRNA from 1 species
GCGCGAGUGGCGGAAUGGUAGACGCGCUGGCUUCAGGUGCCAGUGUCCGUACGGACGUGGGGGUUCAAGUCCCCCCUCGCGCA